rnacentral:rRNA from 1 species
CGUGCCUAACACAUGCAAGUCGAACGGAGAAUUUUAUUUCGGUAGAAUUCUUAGUGGCGAACGGGUGAGUAACGCGUAGGCAACCUGCCCUUUAGACGGGGACAACAUUCCGAAAGGAGUGCUAAUACCGGAUGUGAUCAUCGUGCCGCAUGGCAGGAUGAAGAAAGAUGGCCUCUACAAGUAAGCUAUCGCUAAAGGAUGGGCCUGCGUCUGAUUAGCUAGUUGGUAGUGUAACGGACUACCAAGGCGAUGAUCAGUAGCCGGUCUGAGAGGAUGAACGGCCACAUUGGGACUGAGACACGGCCCAAACUCCUACGGGAGGCAGCAGUGGGGAAUCUUCCGCAAUGGACGAAAGUCUGACGGAGCAACGCCGCGUGAGUGAUGAAGGAUUUCGGUCUGUAAAGCUCUGUUGUUUAUGACGAACGUGCAGUGUGUGAACAAUGCAUUGCAAUGACGGUAGUAAACGAGGAAGCCACGGCUAACUACGUGCCAGCAGCCGCGGUAAUACGUAGGUGGCGAGCGUUGUCCGGAAUUAUUGGGCGUAAAGAGCAUGUAGGCGGCUUAAUAAGUCGAGCGUGAAAAUGCGGGGCUCAACCCCGUAUGGCGCUGGAAACUGUUAGGCUUGAGUGCAGGAGAGGAAAGGGGAAUUCCCAGUGUAGCGGUGAAAUGCGUAGAUAUUGGGAGGAACACCAGUGGCGAAGGCGCCUUUCUGGACUGUGUCUGACGCUGAGAUGCGAAAGCCAGGGUAGCGAACGGGAUUAGAUACCCCGGUAGUCCUGGCCGUAAACGAU